GAUGAACGCUGGCGGCGUGCUUAACACAUGCAAGUCGAACGGAAAGGCCCUGCUUGCAGGGUACUCGAGUGGCGAACGGGUGAGUAACACGUGGGUGAUCUGCCCUGUACUUUGGGAUAAGCCUGGGAAACUGGGUCUAAUACCGAAUAUGACAAUUGUUUGGAUGCGAUUGUGGAAAGCUUUUGCGGUAUGGGAUGAGCUCGCGGCCUAUCAGCUUGUUGGUGGGGUAAUGGCCUACCAAGGCGUCGACGGGUAGCCGGCCUGAGAGGGUGUACGGCCACAUUGGGACUGAGAUACGGCCCAGACUCCUACGGGAGGCAGCAGUGGGGAAUAUUGCACAAUGGGCGCAAGCCUGAUGCAGCGACGCCGCGUGGGGGAUGACGGCCUUCGGGUUGUAAACUCCUUUCGCAACCGACGAAGCCUUUUGGUGACGGUAGGUGGAGAAGAAGCACCGGCUAACUACGUG
rnacentral:rRNA from 1 species